CAAAAUAAUACCAUCCCAUAGCCAACAUCAGGAAGAAAAUCAAGAGAAACAAACACUGUAAAAGUGCUGCAAUGACCGUACACCCGACCUGUAAAAUCAUCAGAAUAUCGUCCAAUAAAAAUGUUCAGAAACAACGCAUAGGCCAUGGCGAUACUAAGACAAAGGAACACCGUGAUCUUAUCAAUCACCCUGCUGGUCUCAGAAGUAACAGAUCUAUAUGUGGAGGAAAUCAGCAUUUACAUCAGAAAAAAGAGGAAAACUGAUAUAGAACAACCUAUCAAGGAUAUCCAGCUCAAGGCUUCCUCCUCGUCAUCUACCUAUCAAAGAUAUCAAGAAAAGAAGUUACAAACACGACUUCUGAGGUGAGUAAAACAUUUUACUUUAACAUUUUCUUUCUGUUUUGUUAAUUUUACGGUCCUGCGAUGACUGUUCUUUUAAAGUGUUUUGAUAAUUUUGUUUCAGAACUUUUUUUCGUUUGUAUAGUGUGUAUUUAUUUAGUAAAUAUGAGUAAGUAGAAUGUAUUCAUAUGACUCUCGUAUUCUUGGUAUCAUAAUAUGAUGUAAUUCAUAAUGAUUCUAAAGUGUGUAAGUUAUUGUCAAUGCAGUUUAGUUUCAAGUAAACUAAGUAUUUUCAAGUGACCUAAGUGUGUAAUUCGUGAAGUAAGCAUUUAGUACAGGUUUAAGUAAUGCAGCGCUGCUACGUGUAAUAGUUCCCCGUAACUAGUAUGGUAAGUAGUAUAGUGGACAAUGUGAGUAAUGACUUGUAUUAAUGUGUGUGUGUAACUUAAUAUGUAUUUAUUAUACAUGUAGGUCCUGGUGUAAUGACUCAUGGUACCUGGUGUUCCACGUAAACCGGACCAAAUGUGAGCAUGCAUUGCUAGUAACGAAUACCUGAGCCAGCAGUGGAUAAUGAUUAUGUACAAUAUGUCUACAAUGUAAAACUUAUACGGUACCAAUUUUGAUGCACCAGAUGCGCAUUUCGACAAAUAAUGUCUCUUCAGUGAUGCUCAACCGAAAUGUUUGAAAUCCGAAAUAACUAUGAAGUUUUAGAGCUAAAUAUAGCCAAAAGCAGCGUGCCAAAAAAGUGGAGCCAAAUUCGUCCAAGGAUAAGAGCUAUGCAUGAGGGAGAUAAUCCUUAAUUUUGAAAUGAAAACGUUUGAAAUUUUGUUUUUGAUUCUUAAUCCCGCAAGCCAUCUUGGUCAAUCUAUAACACUCUUUCAAUAUCCAUUUUAGAAUAUCUAAAUGAAAUAUUAGUACACCGUUCUCUUACCUUGACAAUAUGACAGUAGAAUAUACCCCAUGCAGAGCAGAAAUUGGAUUCUGAGAAACAUCAUCAUUUUUGGAGAUGGAAUUGAAUUAGCUGUAAAAAAAAAAAAAAAAAUUAGAAUGACGUGCAUGAGUCAUUUUCAAAUUUUGAUUUAUUUUCAGAAAAACAUUAUGGUAUGAAGAAAUCGUUGUUGCAUCUUUAAUUUGUUUUCAUAAAAUUGGUCAUACUCAAAACUUCUGUCAUGCUCAUUAUAAAUCAAACACUAUACACUAUUCUAAAGAAUGUGAAGUCAAUGGCCAAAAGUGCAAAAUAGUUCAAUAAGUUGCAAAAUGUCAUUAUCAUUGGUUUUAAUGUGAAUCUAAUUCGUACGUAUACAGGCUGUUGGAAUAUUUCAUAGGUGUUUGUUUAAUCGGGUAUCUACGGUGGCAUAUUUCUGUCGGCCAUUUGAUUGUUUUUGUUGUGUUAACUUCUCAGAUCUUUAUGUUGACUUUUCAGAUCUUUAUGCCGACUUGUCGGGUAAUAAUCUUCAAACAGGAUCUCAGAAAUCGCCAAGAAAACCCGCAUAAUUAUGGGAACUUUUUCCUUGAGAUUAUAUCAGAUAUGUGGCUUUCACUUCCACUGCUGGGCGCUUGGCGAAGGAACAGACACUACCUAAAUUAAACGUCCUCAGCUGGACGGGAAAGAAUAUCAAACCAGGGACCUCCCAAUUAAGAAGUUCUUACGAAAUCAAAUUAACAUAUAUAACAUGGUGUAAUAUAUAGAUUAGACAUCAGAGACAUGUGGAUGGCUUGAAUUGGUCUAUCUGUCAAGUCAAGUUAUGAAAUUGAUCAGUGUUCGUUAUCUUCACCUUUCUCUCAAGUAAAUAAAACAAUCAAAUUUCAACUUUCAAUAUUCAAUUUAUGAGAUCAUAUUAAGGGUAGAUAGCUAAACAUUACAUUACCAAUACAAUAUGUUAUUGGGUCAAAUUGUGUAGGAACUGUUUUACAUGUAUAUCAAUUGUUAGCUUGUUUUUUACACACGGAUUUUGACUGCGGAUUACUCCGUUUACAUGAUCGAAAUAUAGGACUCAUGAUGGGUGUGACCGGUCGACAAGGGAUGCUUACUCCUCCCAGGCACUCAAUCCCAACUCUGGAAUAUCCAGGGGUUCGAGUUUGCUCUGCUUGUAAUUUUGUAUUGAUUAUAGGAGUUGUGAUAUUGGUCACUGUUCGUUAUCUUCAUAUUUUCAUGUCCAUCAGGGGCAGUUUUGUUUUAUGACAAGUUCAACAGUGUGACUUUGAAAAGGUGGGUAUAAUAGUUUGAUAGAAAUACAUGUUAUUUUCAUUAGCUUCAUUACCAUUGCAACAAGAACCAUGGGGAUUCGGGUUACAAUAGGUCUUUAGUAUCCCUUGUGUAAGAAAAACAUUGUGUCAUCUGCAUACAGUAGAACGAAUAAACAUAAAUAAACAUUUAGAUAAGUCAUUUUCUAAUUUAUCACAUAAGCUAGAAAGACCUUGAACAUCAGUAAUGUACAUAAUUUUUUCUUUAAAAUUUGAUAACUGAAAUUUUAGGAUUUUUUAUACUUGAUCAAUUUGUCAUUAUCCUAGUGACAUACAGGUAAACUGUACUUGUGCUCCCGUUAGAAAGCCCCUUAAUCCCUUUACAUGAUUAGUUUAGUUUACUAAAACAUUGAGAGACAUCUCAUUGGUAUAGUACAAUUGUAUAACAAUCAAGUAACAUACUAGUGAGUGUAACUUAUAUGACUAAAUAUGAAAGAUGGACAAAUACAUAAAAUUUUAUAAGUUUCUUAGGCCCAUUGCCUUUAUCAGAAACCUUCCUAAAUUAUAUGUUUUUCUGUUUCUUAUCGAAAAAGGAUUCAUACGUUUAAACAUGGAUGGUCGAGUAAAAUUAUAUCAUUUGGUGUAUAUGUGUCGUAAAUCAGAAUAAAAAGUACAUGACAGAACACAAUGAUAUUCGUCUUCAAAUUCGUUUAAAUCACAUUUCUGACAUUUUCUUUGAGACCUUAAUAUGUUUGAGUGUCGACCCUUUUCUAUCAACAGCUCAUGUGAAGACAUUCUACUCAAUAUUGUAGCACAAAUAUCAGGUAUACAUUUUCUUAAGUAGUAAUGAAAAUAAAAGUUCUCAGGUAGCUGCUUGCAUAGGUUACACUUUGCAAUCUUUCAAAAAUUGAUUGCAUCUCUUGCAUAACUGAACCAACUGACAACUGAUUCAUCUAGAAAAUGAUUUCUUUUCAACAUACUGAUUUUUCCAAACAUAUGCAAGUCCUAAGUUCUGCAAUAAGUUCCUGAUAUUAGUUAACGAAUUGUAAUGUACAUCAGUAACUUUUAACAUAUGAAUAUACAUUGAUUUCAAAAUACAAUUGUCUGUAUCCUAAAGUUUAACCCAAUAUUCAAAAUUCGUUCUUUUUCUAACAAUCCUUAAAGGUAAUCUUCAGAAUUCUGAAAAUACAAUACAAUUCCGGGUACUCUUUUCAAUAUGCAUAAUCCUUUCAAAAAUUCCAAAUGUACUUUUUCUAUAUCUUUGUCAGCACAAAAUCCCCUGACUUCACAGUAGUAAUUCAAAAAGCAACUUACAUAUGUAUCAAAUACAUGAAAAAUGAAGAUAACGACAAGGAUCAAUCUCAGAACUCCUAUCAGUAAUGCAAAAUAGAUAGUUGGGCAAACACGGACCCCUGAAUAUACCAGAGGUGGGACCAUGUGCCUAGGAGGAGUAAACAAACAUCCCCCAUUCACUAGUCACAUCCGCUGUGAGCCCCAUAUCUUACUCACGUAAACGGAGUUAUCUGUAGUAAAAUCAUUGUGCCAAGAACGGCCUAACAAUCGGUAUGAAACAAGUCAGACAGCAAUGAUAGGUUGUAUUGGCAAACUAGAUCAUUACAGCAACCAUAUACUUUGUUAAAUGCUGAUUUUAAACGAGACUGUUGAAACACCCGUACCUUCAACUUGUUUGUUAGUAUCUUACCUCGAUUUAAAAACUGAUCAUACGCAGAUCAAGCUCUUACGUAUCAAGACAUAUACACAUCAUUUGCAGGUGAUAAUGGAAUAUUGCUAUACAAUAUGGCAGGUUGAUGACGGAGAAGCUGAGAACAUACCGUUUACCAUACAGUUGAGUUGUUAGUUUGCCGUUAAGAUAUAUUUUCAAUAAAAUAUCUAAGAAUGAAGCAGAAUUGGACGACUCUGUGGUGUCUUUUAGUUUAAGUUCACCUGGAUAAAUCGACAAAUGAAUGAAAAUUAUUAUUGUUAAUAGAUAAAACGUUGUCGAUAUAUCUAUAUGUCGAAUUGAAGGCCAUAGCAAGAGUUUUUGUCUUCUCAUGUAGAAGUUCUUUUAAUAAAUCCUGCUUCAUGAAAAUAUUCAAACAGGUCAGCUAACAAAGUAGCAUAAUUCGUACCCAUGGGAAUUCCAACAGACUGUUGGAAGACCCGAUCACCAAAGACCACGGAGAUAUUCUCAUUGAGGAACUCCAGCAUAUAUUCUAUUUCAACCUCAGAGUUCUUGUGCGUAGAAUCGGAAUGGUGUUUAUCAAAGUAAUUUUUGAGAUGACUGAUCACUAGAGAUGAAUAUAUCCGUUUUCCAUUUUUUGUUGAAAAUGCAACUAUCUAUGAUGUCAAAAGUCAAGUCUUUAAUUUAUCUUGAGGAAGGGUCUGUUUAUAUUAUUUUGUCAUUUUUAAAUGAAUUGAUCACUUAAACUGUAAAAGUCCACUUCCUAUAAAUGGCAUUUUGUUCAUACCAAAUAUUCGAAAAUCUGCAAGAUGUCAAAAUCUUGUAUAUACAAAAUCUACCCAUGAAUUUUUAAUCCUCCUUGGCAAUAUUGCGAACAUAUAUAUUUAUAUGAUAUACAAUUUUGUAUUCCGAACAAAAAAGUAAUCUUGUCCAUGAAGAAAUUAUCCUCGUAAAUAUUUGUAUAUACAAUGGAAAGCGCCCAGUCGAUAAAUACCUGAACUAAAGAUUCAAACAUUAGAAGUAAAUCAGUCACAGUCAAAACGUAUCUCGGAGAAAAUGACGUCAAGAACAUACGAUACAAGUUAUCGGCAAUUCGCGAUUUGUGGUCUAGAAAAGUAAGAAAUUCCCGUAGUAACAACACCAGCUUUCGUGCCUACCGUUCAACAGAAUUCCUUUUCAAGCAUAAUUUACAGAACGCCCGUAACAUCCUCAAACUAUUUUGGUCAUAUCAAUAAAAAAAUAUAAUGAUUUUAUAUCAAAUUAAACUAUUCACAUCUUCAUUCUUAUUUCUAAACGAUGCAUUUAGUCGGUAGAUUUUUAUCGAUAUAUUUGUUAUACUAACAAACGCACUAACAAACAAAAACUUAGGGAUCAAUUUAUUCAACAUGGUCGAGCGAUAUGUUUAAUUCAUCUAAAGGUAAAAUAUACAGAACUUUUAAGAUAUAAUUUGGACUUAACAUAUUUAUAAUUGCCUACAAACUUUAGAACUAUUCUUCUUUAAUUUCCCACCACAAACCCAGGUCUUUCAGUAGACACUGGCAGAUGGAUUAGUAUUCCAUAUAAUGAAAGAUUUUGUGGUUUUUUGUGCAACGAAUCAAAUAUUGCAGAUGAAUUCUAAAAUGUAUUAGAAUGCAGCGCUUUCUUUAAUAUAAGAAAAUAAUACCUACACAGUAUGUACUGAAGAAUACCUAAUGGUAUAAAAUUUCAUGACAUUAUAUCAACCAGUAAGGUUAAAACACUUUAAAGACUGUGUAUGUUUAUCUCAAAGAUCUAUAUGAGUCUGUCCUCCAUAACACACUGAAUCCUGUAUUUUGUAAAUAUUUUUUCACUACAUGUAUAUUGUGUAUGUGUAUAUACUCUGAUCUUAUUCGUACUUAAAUACAUGUUUAUCUAAUCUACCUGUUGUACCAUAUAAAAUAUAGUUUGAGCGAUUAAAAACCGUGUAUUUCAUUGUGCAUAGCCAUUAACACUUACAUACCGGGAUAUGUAGGUAGACCCUGGCUACUUCAGAUACAUUUGACAUUGUUUUCAUCAUAGACAAUGAAUAUAUGUUUGUUGCAAACUUGUUCGAUCCUGUUCUUAGUACCAACUGUCUGCGUAAUCAUUACUAGAUAUGGAGCGUCCUCAAGGCCAAAGCUUGCAUUGGCUUUUGAGUUUAAAGUAACGAAAUGAUCAACGCUAUAUUUCAGUACUUACAUAUAGUUUUAAAAAUUGCAUAAUAAUAUGAGUAUAAACGAUGAAUUGUC